AGGUGUGUAGCUCAGUGGUAGAGUGUAUGCUUAGCGUGCCUGAGACCCUGGGUUCCACUCCCAGUGUCCCCA
rnacentral:tRNA from 1 species